AAUGAACGCUGGCGGCGCGCCUAAUACAUGCAAGUCGAGCGAGAAGACGUAGCAAUACGUUUGUAAAGCGGCGAACGGGUGAGGAAUACAUGGGUAACCUACCCUUGAGUGGGGAAUAACUAGCCGAAAGGUUAGCUAAUACCGCGUACGCUUCCUGGACUUCGGUUCAGGGAGGAAAGCGAUGCCGAGGGUAUCGCGCUCUUGGAUGGGCUCAUGUCCUAUCAGCUUGUUGGGGGGUGAUGGCCUACCAAGGCGACGACGGGUAGCCGGCCUGAGAGGGCGACCGGCCACACUGGGACUGAGACACGGCCCAGACUCCUACGGGAGGCAGCAGUGGGGAAUCUUGCGCAAUGGGCGAAAGCCUGACGCAGCGACGCCGCGUGAGGGAUGACGGCCUGGUGU
rnacentral:rRNA from 1 species